AUGCCCCCUCCCUUCGUCGUCCUCGUCUCCGAUGCUGGUAAGCAACACCCCCUCUUCCCUAUGUUAGGUUAUGGACGCACGGAUGCGGCUAGUAGUUCAGGCAGGAGCACUGAUAGCUGUUAUUCAGGCAUGGGUCAUAUUCAUGCACAAGAGAGUUGUUCGUCGUGGACCAGGGGGCUGCUAGAAGAUAGCAUCCACACCAGUGUGGAAGAGCAAGUCGCCAUGUUCCUUCAUGUUGUUGGCCAUAACCAGAGGUUCAGGGUUAUCCACAACACAACCAGGAGAUCAAUGGAGACCAUCUCAAGAUAUUUGAAGCAAGUGUUGUAUGCUGUUGGGGAGCUCAGAGGAGAGAUGAUCAAGUCACCAACUGGUUGGACUCCUACCAAGAUUUGCACUAUCCCAAGAUGGUAUCCAUACUUCAAGGUGAGCACUGCAGUAUGUAGUCCCUUGCUUGAUAUGCUUGGAUUGUUCAAGGUGAGCACUAACACAAUCUUGUAUUGCCAUUUCAGGAUUGCAUUGAGGCAAUAA
rnacentral:rRNA from 1 species